rnacentral:lncRNA from 1 species
GUGGGCAAGCUGCCAGUCAGAACCCCACCCAGGAGGGAACGCUCUGCCUGGGACUGUUUUUCCAAUCAGGACUCUAAUCCGCUGCAAAGUGGAGCCCCAGCCACGUGAGAGAUCAGAUGUUGCGUUUCCCCCUGAUUUGGAGGGGCGGCUGGAGGCUGGGCGCACCGGGAGGUCGUCCUCGCACGGCCUUUGGAGACCGCGGGUAUUUUCCUUCUGAGGCACCAGAUUGAAGCCGGGACUUCGUAUGUGGGAAGCCAG